GGAGUUUUUUUUAUAAUAUUUUUGCUAAAAUAAAUUGUUUUAUUUGUAUUUGAUAACCUCAAAAAAUAAAUUAUUUUGUUAAAGUAAAUGUUAAAAAUGAUAUAUUUAUUAAAAUGACGAAAAUGCCCUCAGAAUUUAACGGUGUUAGUGGUCAGGGUAUCAAAAUGCUAACGAAAUGAAACUUUGGGUAUUAAAAUAAAAUUUUUUGAUAGUUAUGUAUAAAAAUAAAAAUAACAUCAUAGUUCGGGUGGUGUUUUGUAAUUAGAUAUAAAUGUAGUGUGUUGGGGGUGGUGCUACGCUUAUUAACAUGCACUAUACAUAAACAUACUGGUGGCUGAGUUGAAAGUAUGCACUUCUGCUGUAUUUGUUAAGAUGCCAACUGGGGAUGCGUUUGCUUUUACUUUGAGUUUGUUGCAAAAAGUGCAAAAAUACAUAGGUUUUUCUCUGAUGCAAAGUGCAAAAAUAGAUAGGUUUUUCUCUGAUGCAAACAAAGGUUUUUCUCUUCAAAAGAUAUGUUUUGUGUAAUACAAUCUUCACCAUGUAUCCAAGAAACAAAUGAAUGCUGAAAUGAAUAGCAGUGAUAUAUUAUCAUCAUUAUAUCAUUAUAUAGUUCUACCAUUCCAACGGUUUUAAGCUGAGCGUGCAACACAGUUUAGCAAAUGUAGAUCUAAAAAUAUACAGCUUAUUUUCAUUUGACCUCUGUGAACAUGUUCAAUAAGUAACUAGUUUAUAGUGACUAAUAUCCGCCAAUCCGCCAUUGAGAUGAAUUUGGCGUGCAGCAGCAUUUUACAUAACCAACUAAUGUUCUUUUUUAGAGGAAUUUGUUAAGUUAUUGCUCAAAUUCACACGGAAAAUUGCUAAACUGGGUCUCUUUACCAAAAGAUUCUAAAUCCUGCAGCUUCACUUUAAAAAGUUCAUAUAGCAUAAAAGAAACUACACCCACACAAACGUGAAAAGGCGGUUGUUCUUGCUUUGCAUAUCUUGCAGUUUCAGUCAAAUUUUGUGGUUAUAUCUGCAGCAUUCAUGACUUCCAUACGAAAGUCCAUGUAAACAGUGGUAAUACAGCAAUGCAGGCAUGAAUCCCUCUUCCAGUUUACAAGUUAGUUUUUGUGAUUGUAUCUCUAAACUGCACUCCAAGAGACUAGGAUUAAAGUAAAAAAAUAUUGGUCAUCUAAUUCAAAAGAGUUAUAUUACCUAUUCAGCCUGCCCUUUCUAGACCAAGUGAUCUAGACAAUUCUUUAGCUUCCAUUCAUUUCCUUCUAAAGAACAAGCUAUUCCAGCAAGAAAAAUGUUGGCUUUAAAGUCAUGCUGCUUGGAUACCAGCAGGGAUAUGCUUGAAGGAUUGUUGCAGGAUUUACUACAUAUCAACUCAUGCUACAGUUUACUUAUUGUCUUCGAUGAUCACUUCAUUCCUACCUGUCUACCAUGCUUAGUCUAAUCAUCUCUAAGGCAUAAGGGCACUGUAGGCAAGUUGCUGAUAUAGGGCACAUAAAAAAUUAAAAAUAACUCAUAUAAGCUCAUAUUUACUACGUAUCGGCUUGAAACUUAUAAUCUUAUAAUGAUGAAAUUGCAAUUUCGCAUAAGGCUUGGUUGUCGCUCAAAUUAAUACAAGGUUAACUAGCCAACAGUUAAAGAUGGUGUUGCUACUUAAUUUGAGCAUCACAUUACAAUCAACAGUGGUACUAUCGAGCAACAUUACAAUCAACAGUGAUACUACCGAUAGUUUUGCUUCUUGUCAUAUAUUUCUCAUAGACAAGCAUGGAUAGUUUGCUAUAAACACUCCCAUACACUAUACCUUUCAUUCACCAUUCACCUAAAGAAACACUGAAUAAUCACUAACCGGUUACAGCUCCCGUUUCAUCUCAAAAGUACAACUAAGGAAAAUCAAGAGGUUGUAUUUGCUACAACAUAUACAUUUAAUGAUCCAAGAAAAAGUGAUCCUCAUAUUAGACUAUUAGACACUAUUUAACCACAAAUCGGCUUAAACAUGCAUGUAUUCCUAUGUCAAAACAUUAUAUAUCAACAUGCAUAAAGCAUAAAGCAUAAAAUAUGAUAGUAUAAACCAUAAAGCAUAAAAUAUGAUAGCAUAAACCAUAAAGCAUACAUGUAUACCUAUGUUUUGACAGUAUAUAUCAACUAUAAUACCAUAAAAUCCUCAAACCAGUGUCGUAUAUCCACAGCAAGACUAGGCAGCAAAAAAAAAUAACUCCAUUUGCAUACACACUCAAGGACUAGACUAGAGAGGAACACUCCAUGCAAAUAGAUGUAUUAAACUUGAAUGCAGAACGGCAUUUAUAACGUAUGCAUCCAUUCGUGUUACUUCACCAUGAAAAUCAAAGCUAAAUGCAGUAGUAGCAUUUAUAACUAUUAUAUGCUGAUGGGAACAAGGUAACACAUAGAAGUCCAGAUAUAUAAAGUACUGACAGUUGGAAUCCUAAACUAUUUCAAUUUGUGGCUGAAACCCUGUAUCUAGCAAAGUCUAACAAACAAGGCAAAUUUGAAGCACGAAGCUCUGGCAAAUUCGAGGCACACAAUUGACUUAGCGAGUUGAAUCAUCAUACAGAUCUAUAAAACACUAGAUCGAGUGUCUUAUUACUCCCAUCAACACUAAUAAGCACAAAAAUAAAUUUUAAAACCAACAAAGCGAUCUCACCUCCAGGUAAUAGCUAGCGUAUUUGUCACAUCCUUCAAACCAUAUUACAAUAAUUUUGUGCAGCAUUUUGCCUAGUAUGUGCACGACAUCUGACUUAUAACCCAAGUCCUUGUCAUCUUAUUUGACAACAAUACAACUUACAAAAUAAAGUUAAAAAUUAGUAGACUGAGGGAAAUUUUACAUCCCAAACCAAAAGAGAACAUAACAAGAAAUAUAGGUAGCUACAGCCAAUCACUUGUAGUUAUGGAAAUAAAGAAUAAUAGGUGCCCUAAUGGAGAGAAGCUAACAAAGUCAAAACAUUUUAGCAAAACCACUCAACAGGUGGAUUACAUUAAAAACUAACUAGAACAAAAAUCAGAAACUCCUAUGUUUCUUAGUUUAACAAUCAAUCACCAAUGAGCAUUUCCCUUGCUUGGUUCGUUGCUAAUUAAAACAAUCAAUUACACAAGCAACGAAUUAACAAAAAGUAUGGUAACAAAAUAAAUUUAGCAAGCGGAUAUUUAAAUCAACUGACACAGAACAAAAUAGCACAUUAGUAAUUUGUUGCAAGAGACAUUAAUUUUAUACAUGAUUCUAAAAUUUCUAAUCAAACCCAACAUGUCUUAUUCACAUCAAAGCUCAAAUAUUCAAACAGUACACUUAACAUCUCAUAAGGCAAAAAUAUCACAAUUUGUGGACAAAAACAUAACCCUUUGUACAACUAAAAAGGGGAGACAUUUCACAGAGCACUUAUCAAAACAUACCACAUUAUUCCCCUAUGAAUAGGACCUACACUAGCCCCACAUUAUUCAAAACAUACCACAUUAUUCCCCUAUGAAUAAGACCUACACUAGCUCCAAACAAAGACAUCUCAUACAAAUGCGUAGAUGGCAGAAAAGUACUCAUCAAUGAGCACCUAACAUCGGAAACUCACUAUAAUUUAUCUAGCUUAUCAAAGAACACUAAAGUUUUUCAGAUCAGUAGUACACACAUGGAAGAUCAACUUCAUAAUAUUUCAAGCCAAACAGAAUCAUAAAUCCUAAACAAAUUCAAAUACAGAACAGCUGCAACGCAUAGCGCCGACAACAAUUUUAGUACAAAGAACUUAACUUCAGAAAAUCACUACCAGUUAUCUAGCUUAUUUAUAGGACACUAAACUUUUCUGAUCAAGAGUUCACACAUUGAAGAACAACUCCACAUAAUUUCAACCAAAACGAAAUCCUAUAUCCUAAUCAAUUUCGAAUUCAAAACAGCUGCACUAGAUAAAACUGAGAACAAUUUCAGCACAAAGCACUUUAACGUCAGAAAAACACUACCAUUUAUCUAGCUUAUCAUAAGGAUUGAUUAGUCAAAGAUUUCUUUAAUUUUUUACUUACAUGCAUUAGAUUGAAGUCACCUGCGUUGUAAAAUAACUUGGGAUCUGAAGCUUUUGAGUUGAAAGGGAUAAAGUAAACUCAAGGGAUUGGAUAGAAAGAUUAGCUUAUGUUGAGAACUUAGCUUACCUCAAAAUUCAGCAUCAGGUUUCUCCAAGUCAAUACUAGACUUAUGAAGGUAUCUCAUUCCCUUUUGAUUUCUCCCUCCAGCCAAAGCACUCUCCCUUCCUUCUUUUUUUCUUCCUUUUUCUUCGAUUCUAUAUGUACUCCGAUAACCUCCCACAUCGUCAGCAGUCUGAGUUCUGCUUUUCCUAAACAUCUUCCAGUCCGGUUGGGGUAAUAACCGGAAGGCCGCACGAAGCGGUUGGGGUAAUUACCGAGACGCCGCACGAAGCGGUAAAUGAUCAUAACCAGGACGCCGCACGAAGCGGUUAGAAUAAUAAUCGAGACGCCGCACGAAACGGUUGAGAAAUAACCAGAAGGCCGCACAAAGCGGAUGAGUAAUAACCGGAAGGCCACACAAAGCGGUUGGGUAAUAAUCGGGUCGCCGCACGAAGCGGUUGAGGUAAUAACCAGGAGGACACACGAAGCGGUAAGGGAAAUAACCCGAACGCCGCACGAAGCGGUAAUGGGUAAUAAUCGGGACGCCGCACGAAGCGGUAAUGGGUAAUAAUCGGGACGCCGCACGAAGCGGUAAUGGGUAAUAACCGGGACGCCGCACGAAGCGGUAAAUGAUCAUAAUCGGGACACCGCACUAAGCGAUAACGGGAAAUAACCGGGACACCACACAGAGGUUGGGGUAAUUACCGGGACGCCGCACGAAGUGGUUGAGUAAUAACCGGAACGCCGCACAAAGCGGUAAGGGGUAAUAACCGGAACGGCCGCACGAAGCAAUAACGGUUAAUAACCGGGACGUCGCACGAAGCAGUUAGAGUAAAAACCGAGACGCCGAACAAAACGGUUAGAGUAAUAAUCGAGACGCCGCACGAAGCGGUAAAGAGUAAUAACGAAAAGGCCGCACGAAACGGUUGGGUAAUAACCGGAACGCCACACGAAGCAGUUCGGGUACUAACCGGGAGGACACACAAAGCGAUAAGGGGUAAUAACUGAGAGGACGCACAAAGCGGUAAUGGGUAAUAACCGGGACGCCGCACGAAACGGUUGGGGUAAUAACCGGGAAAACGCACAAAGCGGUAAGGGGUAAUAACCGGGAGGACGCACGAAGCGGUAAUGGGUAAUAACCGGGAAAACGCACGAAGCGGUAAUGGAGUAAUAACUGGGAGGACGCACGAAACGGUAAGGGGUAAUAACCGGGAGGACGCACGAAGCGGUAAUGGGUAAUAACCGGGAGGCCGCACGAAGCGGUAAUGGGUAAUAACCGAGAGACCGCACGAAGCGGUAAUGGGUAAUAACCAGGACUCGGUAGGAAGCGGUUGUGGCAAUUACCAGGAGGAAGCACGAAACGGUAAAAGGUAAUAAAAGGAAGGACGCACGAAACGAUAAUGGCUAAUAACAGGGACGCCGCAAAAGCGGUUGGGGUAAUUACCGAGACGCCGCACGAAGCGGUUGGGGUAAUUACUGAGACGCCGCACGAAGCGGUUGGGGUAAUAACCGAGACGCCGCACGAAACAGUUGGGGUAAUAACCAGGACGCCGCACAAAACAGUUGGGGUAAUAACCGGGACGCCGAACGAAACAGUUGGGGUAAUAACCGGGAUGCCGCACGAAGCGGUUGAGGUAAUAACCGGAACGCCGCACGAAACGGUUGGGUAAUAAUCGGGACGCCGCAUGAAGCGACAAUGGGUAAUAACCGGGAUGCCGCACGGAGCGACAAUGGAUAAUAACCGGGAGGCUGCACGAAACAACAAUGGGUAAUAAUCGGGAGGCUGCACAAAGCGGUUCGGGUAAUAACCAGGACGCCACUCGAAGCGGUUGCGGUAAUAACCGGGACACCGCUCAAAGUGGUUGGGUACUAACCGGGACGCCGCUCAAAGCGGUUGGGUACUAACCGGGACGCCGCUCGAAGCGGUUGGGGUAAUAACCGAGACGCCGCACGAACCGGUUAGGGUAAUAACCGAGACGCCGCACAAAGCGGUUAGGGUAAUAACCGAGACGCCACACGAAGCAGUUUGGGUAAUAACCAGGACGCCUCACCAAACGGCUAGGUAAUAACCGGGAUGCCGCACGAAGCGGUUUGGGUAAUAACCGGGACACCGCACGAAGGGAUAAUGGGUAAUAAUCGAGACGCCGCACGAAACGGUCGGGGUAAUAACCAGGAGACCGCACAAAACGAUCAAGGUAAUAACCGGGAGGCCGCACGAAACAGUCGGGGUAAUAACCAGGAGGCCGCACGAAGCGGUUGGGGUGAUAACCAGGAAGCCGCAUGAAGCGGUAAUGGGUAAUAACCGGGAGGCCGCAAGAAGCGGUAAUGAGUAGUAACUGAGAGGCCACACGAAGCGGUUGGGGUAAUAACUGGGAGGCCGCACGAAUCGGUUGAGGUAAUAACCGGGACGCCGCACGAAACGGUUAGGUAAUAACCGGGACGCCGCACGAAACGGUUGGGUAAUAACCGGAAUGCCGCACGAAGCGACAAUGGAUAAUAACCGGGAGGCCGCACGAAACGGUUGGGUAAUAACCGGGAUGCCGCACGAAGCGACAAUGGAUAAUAACCGGGAGGCCGCACGAAGCGACAAUGGGUAAUAACCGGGAGGCCGCACGAAGCGACAAUGGGUAAUAAUCGAGAGGCUACACGAAGCGGUUGGGGUAAUAACCAGGACACCACUCGAAGCGGUUGCGGUAAUAACCGGGACGCCGCUCAAAGCGGUUCGAUACUAACCGGGACGUCGCUCGAAGCGGUUGGGGUAAUAUCAGAGACGCCGCACGAACCGGUUAGGGUAAUAACCGAGACGCUGCACAAAGCGGUUGGGGUAAAAACCAAGACGCCGCACGAAGCGGAUAGGAAAUAACCAGGACGCCUCACCAAACGGCUAGGUAAUAACCGGGAUGCCGCACGAAGUAGUUGGGGUAAUAACCGGGACGCCGCACGAAGCAGUUGGGGUAAUAACUGGGACGCCGCACGAAGGGACAAUGGGUAAUAACCGGGACGCCGCACGAAGCGGUCGGGGUAAUAACCAUGAGACCGCACGAAGCGGUUGGGUAAUAGCAAGGAUGCCGCACGAAGGGACAAUGGGUAAUAACCGGGAGGCCGCACGAAACGGCCGGGGUGAUAACCGGGACGCCGCAUGAAGCGGUUGGGUAAUAGCCAAGAUGCCGCACCAAGCGGUAAGAGGUUAUAACCGUAAUGCCGCACGAAGCGGUAAUGGAUAAGAACCGGGACGCCGCACGAAGCGGUAAUGGAUAAGAACCGGAAAGCCGCACGAAGCGGUAAUGGGUAAAAGCCGGAAGGCCGCAUGAAGCGGUUGGGGUAAUUACCGUGGGUAAUAACCGGGAGGCCGCACGAAACGGUUGGGGUAAUGACUGCGACGCCGCACGAAGUGGUUGGGGUAAUAACCGAAACGUCGAACGAAACAGUUGGGGUAAUAAACGGGAUGCCGCACAAAACAGUUAGGUAAUAACCGGGACGCCACACGAAGCGACAAUGGGUAAUAACUGAGACACCGCACGAAGCGACAAUGGGUAAUAACCGGGAGGCCGCACAAAACGGUUGGGGUAAUUACCGAGACGCCCCACUAAGCAGUUAAGGUAAUAAUCGGGACGCCGCACAAAACGGUUAGCGUGAAAACCAAGAAACCGCACGAAGCGGUUAGGGUGAUAACUGGGAGGCCGCACGAAGCUGUUGGGGUGAUAACCAGGAGGCCGCACGAAGCUGUUGGGGUCAUAACCGGGAGGCCGCACGAAGCGGUAAUAGGUAAUAACCGGGAGGCCGCACGAAGCGGUAAUGGGUAAAAAUCGAGAGGCCGCACGGAGCGAUUGGGUAAGUAACCGAGACGCCGCACGAAGCAGUAAUUCGUAAUAACCGGGACGCCGCAUGAAGCGAUGUGCGUAAAUACCGAUACGUCGCACGAAGCGGUUGGGGUAAUUACUGAUACGCCGCACGAAGCGGUUAGGGUAAUUUCCGAUACAACACACGAAGCGGUUGGCGUAUUAACCAAGAGACCGCACGAAGCGGUUGGGGUGAUAACCGGGAGGCCGCACGAAGCGGUUGGGGUGAUAACCGGGAGGCCGCACGAAGCGGUUGGCGUGAUAACCGGGAGGCCGCAUGAAGCUGUUGGGGUGAUAACCGGGAGGCCGCACGAAGCGGUUGGAAUCAUAACCGGGAGGCCGCACGAAGCGGUAAUGGGUAAUAACCGGGAGGCCGCACGAAGCGGUAAUGGGUAAAAAUCGGGAGGCCGCACGAAGCGAUUGGGUAAGUAACCGAGAUGCCACACGAAGCAGUAAUUCGUAAUAACCGGGACGCCGCACAAAGCGGUAGGGGUAAAUACCGAUACGCCGCACGAAGCGGUUGGGGUAAUUACUGAUACGCCGCACCAAGCGGUUAGGGUAAUUUCUGAUACAACACACGAAGUGGAUAGAGUAAUAACUGGGACGCCGCACGAAGCGGUUAGGUAAUAACCGGGAUGCCGCACAAAGCGGUUGGGUAAUAACCGUAACGUCGCACGAAACGGUAAGGGGUAAUAACCGGGAAGCCGCACAAAGCUGUAAUAGGUAAUAACCGAGACGCCCCAGGAAGCGGUUGGGGUAAUAACCAGGAGGCCGCACAAAACGGUUAGGGUAAUAACCGGGAGGCCGCACGAAGCGGAAAGGGGUAAUAACCGAGACACCGCAACNNNNNNNNNNNNNNNNNNNNNNNNNNNNNNNNNNNNNNNNNNNNNNNNNNNNNNNNNNNNNNNNNNNNNNNNNNNNNNNNNNNNNNNNNNNNNNNGGCGAGGCCGCACGAAGCAGUAAGGGGUAAUAACCGGGACGCCGCACCAAGCGGAAAUGGGUAAUAACCGGGAUACUGCACGAAGCGGUUGGGGUAAUAACCGGGACGCCGCACGAAGCGGAAAUGGCUAAAUGGCUAAUAAUCAAGAGGCCGCACAAAGCGAUAAUGGGUAAUAACCGGGACGCCGCACGAAGCGGUAAUGGGUAACUAGAUGGCCGCAUGAAGCGGUUGGGGCAAUAACCAGGAGAACGCACAAACCGUAAGGGGUAAUAACCGGAAAGCCGCACGAAGCGGUAAUAGGUAAUAACCGAGACGCCGCACGAAGCGGUUGGGGUAAUAACCGGGAGGUCGCACAAAGCGGUUGGGGUAAUAACCUGAAGGCCGCACAAAACGGUUAGGGUAAUAACUGGGAGGCCGCACGAAGCGGUAAGGGGUAAUAACCAAGACACCGUACGAAAUGGUAAUGGGUAAUAACCGGGAGACCGCACGAAGCGGUAAUGGGUAAUAACAGGGAGGUUGCACGAAAAGGUUGGGGUAAUUAACGGAACGCCACACAAAGCGGUAAUGGGUAAUAAACGGAACGCAGCACGAAGCGGUAAUGAGUAAUAACCAAGACGCCGCACAAAGCGGUAACGGGUAAUAACCGGGAGACUGCACAAAGCGGUUGAGAUAAUAACCGGGAGACUACACAAAGCUGUUGAGAUAAUAACCGGGACAACGCACGAAGCGGUAACGGGUAAUAACCGGAAGGCCGCACAAAGCGGUUGGGGUAAUUACCGUGGGUAAUAACCAAGACGCCGCACGAUGCGGUUGGGGUAAUAACCGUAACGCCGCACGAAACGGUAAGGGGUAAUAACCGGGAAGCCGCACGAAGCGGUAAUGGGUAAUAACCAGGACGCCGCACGAAGCGGUUGGGGUAAUAACCGGGAGGCCGCACGAAGCGGUAAAGGGUAAUAACCGAGAAGCCGCACGAAGUAGUAAUGGGUAAUAACCGGAACGCCGCAUGAAGCGGUUGGGGUAAUAACCGGAACGCCGCACGAAACGAUCAAGGUAAUAACCGGGAAGCCACACGAAACGGUUGGGGUAAUAACAGAGACGCCGCACGAAGCGGUAAUGUGUAGUAACAGGGAGGCUACGAAGCGGUAAUAGGUAAUAACCGGGAGACCGCACGAAGCGGUUAAGGUAAUAACCGGGAGGCCACACGAAGCGGUAAUGGGUACUAACCGAGAGGACGCACAAAAUGACAAUGGGUAAUAACCGGGACACCGCACGAAAAGGUAAUGGGUAAUAACCGGGAGGCCGCACGAAACGGUUGGGGUAAUAAUCGGGAGGCCGUGCAAAGCGGUAAAGGGUAAUAAACGGAACACCACACGAAACGGUAAUGUGUAGUAACCGGGAGGCCACACGAAGCGGUAAUGGGUAAUAACCGGGAGGCUGCACGAAGUCGUUAAUGGGUAAUAACCGGGGAGGCCGCACGAAGCGGUAAUGGGUAAUAACCGGGGAGGCCGCACGAAGCGGUAUUGGUAAUAACCAGAAGGCCGCAUGUAACGGUAAUAGGUAAUAACCGGGAGACCACAAGAAGCGGUUGAGGUAAUAACUGGGACGCCGCACGAACAGUAUGGGUAAUAACCGGGAGGCCGCACGAAGCGGUUAGGGUAAUAACCGGGAGGCCGCACGAAGCGGUUGGGGUAAUAACCGGGACGCCGCACGAAGCGGUAAUGAAUAAUAACCGAAAGGCCGUACGAUGCGGUUGGGGUAAUUACCGAAACACCGCACAAAGCGGUUGGGGUAAUAACCUGGACGCCGCAAGAAGCGGUUGGGUAAUAACCAGAACGUCCGGGAUACCGCAUACAGCGGUUGUGUAAUAACCGGGACGCCGCACGAAACGGUUGGGGUAAUAACCGAAAAAACGCACGAAACGGUAAAGGGUAAUAACCGAGACACCGCACGAAACGGUAAUGGGUAAUAACCGGGACGCCGCACGAAACAGUAAUGGGUAAUAAGAGGGACACCGAACGAAACGGUUGAGUAAUAACCGGGAUGCCGCAAGAAACAGUAAGGGGUAAUAACCGGGACGCCGCACGAAACGGUUAGGUAAUAACCGAGACGCCGCAUUAAACGGUAAGGGGUAAUAACCGGGAGGCCGCACAAAACGGAAAGGGGUUUUUAAGAGUUAUGGAAAGAAUAAUUAUCUAUUGUUUUUAAGAGUCUUGCAUGGGUCUUUAUGUAUUUAAGUCUUUUAAUUAUUCAAGAGUCUUAUUAUUAACAAGUUUACAAAUCUUAUGGUAUUCUAGGAGUCUUAUAAAGGGCUUUCUAAUGUACUUCGAAGAGUUGAUUUGAAUGAAUUAAGAUUUUAUCUUAUUGAAGGCUUGUCCUUGUUUCCUCUCCCCUAACCUCUCUCAUUCUAUUUCUCUCUUCUAAAGCUAAGAAACCCUUGUCCCUUAAUCUCUCAACAUUCUGCAGAUCACCGUAUUAUCUCUAUCACUGACUAUUGGCCUCUCCAUGCAUCAAUGAUAAUCCACCAUUUUUGUCUCAGUCAACUACGACACCACUUUAUUCACUGAUGUUGAUAAUGUUCUAAGAAUUAGGGUCAUUAUUUCUAGUCAUUUUUAUACAGAUACAUAUUUAAAAGCAAUAAAGAUUACUUCCUAUUUUCUACUUAACUCCAAAUAAGCAUCCAAUUGGAUUUAGUUAUUCUCUGUAUAGAAAUGUAAGUGAGAGAUAUAAAGUGGUACCUCCAAACAUAGAAAUUCUUUUUGAAACUAGUGUUAAUUCCAAAUAUUUCUUCAUUUCUUAAGUAUAGAAAUAUCAAUGAGAGAUAUCAAAUGCGAAAAAGAGAAAGGACUUGAAUAUAAAAAGCUUACCUAAUAUGUUUCUACUCUUAUGUCCAGACUUCAGAUAUGGCGGUAUAAAACUGAUAGGUAUGAAAUUAAGGUGGAGUGAAUUCCUUGGAGCAAAUUCCUAAUAUUCAGAAUCAGUAAUAAAAAAUAAAAAAACACGGAUUAACUUGGAAUAUUCAAUAGUAUCAUAAAAUUAAAGUGAGAAACAGCUGAGAUGAAUAACAAAAUUAAAUUAGUUGAAGUAUGAGUAUCAGUCCCAAGUAAUUACUCCACUCUCCUUUCCUUUUGAAUAAU
rnacentral:lncRNA from 1 species